GACGAACCGUGCAAACGUUGUUCGGAAUCACUGGGCUUAAAGGGCGCGUAGGCGGGCCAGCCAGUCUGUGGUGAAAGCCUCCAGCUUAACUGGAGAAGUGCCGUGGAUACUGCUGGCCUCGAGGAGGAUAGGGGCAUCUGGAACGGUCGGUGGAGCGGUGAAAUGCGUUGAUAUCGACCGGAACUCCGGUGGCGAAGGCGGUUCUCUGGGCCUUACCUGACGCUGAGGAGCGAAAGCGUGGGGAGCGAACAGG
rnacentral:rRNA from 1 species